UCCGUCCGCCCGCUCGCCCGCGCUUCCGUCCUUCUGUCGGGCCGCUGGCCCUCGGGCCCGUGUCUCUGUUGAGCCCGCUUUGUCUCUCCCUAGCUCGCUGUCUCUUUGUCUCUGCUCUCGCGCUCUCGGCCCCUCCCUCGCUCCAGGAUCUCGGGUCCCCUCUCCCAGCGCUCCUCUCCUCUCUUACAGCCACGGGUUCUGGCACCCCCAUUCUUUGGGACUCCCUAAAUCUUUUGGGUCCUCUCCUUCAGAACACACUCCACUCACCCAGGCCACCCCUGAGCUUACCACACAUCCUGAGGGUCCUUCUUGAUCCGUGUGCCCCUGAUUCCUGGGGGUUACCUUCACCUAGCCCAUAUUUCCCCACGGGUUAACCACUUCUCGGAGCCUCCCAUAUCUACCAGAACCUUUUACAUCCCU
rnacentral:lncRNA from 1 species